rnacentral:rRNA from 1 species
UAUUACUUACUGUAAAGAAAUAAAUAUUAAGAUUUAAUAUUUUACCUUUUGCAUAAUGGUUUAAUAAUAUAUUAAAAUAUUUUAAACCCGAAAUUAGAAGAUCUAACUUAAGUAUAUUUUUAGAGAUAAUUAUAAUAAUGUUUCAAAAUUAUAUAAAUAACUAAAGUUAGGGGUGAAAGGCCUACCAAUUCUAAAGAUAUCUGGAAUAGUUUUAAAUGUAUUUAGUACAAAAUAAAAUUUGAGUAAAAAAAUGUUAAGAUUUUUUUAAUAUAGGAUAAUUAUUUGUGUAUAUAUAUGAAUUAAUCUUCCUACAUAAUAAUAUUUAUAUAAUUUAUUAUUUAUUUAUCUAUAUAUUAAAAUUACAUUAUUAAUAAUUUUUUAUUAAAUUGACUAUGUUAAAAUUAGUAUAACAAUUUUAUCUAUUUAAGGAACUCGGCAAACUACUAUUCAUCUGUUUAUCAAAAACAUAGUCUUAUGUCUUAAUAUAAGAUAAAACCUGCCCAGUGAUAUAUUUAACGGCCGCAGUACCUUGACUGUGCUAAGGUAGCAUAAUAAAUUGACUCUUAAUUAGGGCCUUGAAUGAAUGGAUAUAUGGAUAGUUUCUGUCUCAAGUAAAUUUGUUUUAAAUUACUUAAAAGGUGAAAAUUCCUUUAAUGAAUAAAUUAGACGAGAAGACCCUAGGAGUUUUAAAUUUUGUUGGGGCGACAAUAUAGCAUAUAACCUAUAUAAUAAUAUAAGUAAUAUAACGAAUAAUAUUAAUAAUAAAUAAACUACCCUAGGGAUAACAGCAUAAUUUAUUUUAAGUUUGUGACCUCGAUGUUGGACUAGGAACUUUUAAUAUUAACAGUAUUAAUUGACAGUUCUGUUCGA